rnacentral:rRNA from 1 species
AACGAACGCUGGCGGCAGGCUUAACACAUGCAAGUCGAACGAGAUCUUCGGAUCUAGUGGCAGACGGGUGAGGAACACGUGGGAACAUCCCUUUCAGUUCGGAAUAACGUUGGGAAACUAACGCUAAUACCGGAUACGUCCUUCGGGAGAAAGAUUUAUCGCUGAAAGAUUGGCCCGCGUCUGAUUAGCUAGUUGGUGAGGUAACGGCUCACCAAGGCUACGAUCAGUAGCUGAUCUGAGAGGAUGAUCAGCCACAUUGGGACUGAGACACGGCCCAAACUCCUACGGGAGGCAGCAGUGGGGAAUAUUGGACAAUGGGCGAAAGCCUGAUCCAGCCAUGCCGCGUGAGUGAUGAAGGCCUUAGGGUUGUAAAGCUCUUUUGUCCGGGAAGAUAAUGACUGUACCGGAAGAAUAAGCCCCGGCUAACUUCGUGCCAGCAGCCGCAGUAA